rnacentral:rRNA from 1 species
AUUGAACGCUGGCGGCAGGCCUAACACAUGCAAGUCGAGCGGAUGAAGGGAGCUUGCUCCUGGAUUCAGCGGCGGACGGUUGAGUAAUGCCUAGGAAUCUGCCUGGUAGUGGGGGAUAACGUCCGGAAACGGGCGCUAAUACCGCAUACGUCCUGAGGGAGAAAGUGGGGGAUCUUCGGACCUCACGCUAUCAGAUGAGCCUAGGUCGGAUUAGCUAGUUGGUGGGGUAAAGGCCUACCAAGGCGACGAUCCGUAACUGGUCUGAGAGGAUGAUCAGUCACACUGGAACUGAGACACGGUCCAGACUCCUACGGGAGGCAGCAGUGGGGAAUAUUGGACAAUGGGCGAAAGCCUGAUCCAGCCAAGCCGCGUGUGUGAAGAAGGUCUUCGGAUUGUAAAGCACUUUAAGUUGGGAGGAAGGGCAGUAAGUUAAGACCUUGCUGUUUUGACGUUACCAACAGAAUAAGCACCGGCUAACUUCGUG